rnacentral:rRNA from 1 species
UACGUAGGGGGCGAGCGUUGUCCGGAUUUAUUGGGCGUAAAGAGCGUGUAGGCGGCCAGGUAGGUCUGCUGUGAAAACUCGAGGCUCAACCUCGAGACGUCGCGGCGAAACCAUCUGGCUAGAGUCCGGAAGAGGAGAGUGGAAUUCCUGGUGUAGCGGUGAAAUGCGCAGAUAUCAGGAAGAACACCCGUGGCGAAGGCGGCUCUCUGGGACGGUACUGACGCUGAGACGCGAAAGCGUGGGGAGCGAACAGG